GGUGAUAACACAAGAUGACAUCAGAAAACAAAAACUGCCACACAGAACCCAAGGCCUCCAAGAAAGAGAGAAACUGAAGGGCUUGAGGUGUAAAAUCAACAAGAGGGAACUUAGGAGUCAAUGCUAAAGUGAUUAUGACUCACAGUCUGAUGGUCCUCAAGACUUGAGUGGCCUUGGAGAAACCGGAUCACAGUUGUGUAACCAAGGCCCUGUGCUGGAGACACAUAAUGGAUAGAUGAUGGUCUUCCUCCAGCCCCAGGUGAUCUCAAUGAGGUCAGUGUGCCAGACCCCUCAGCAAGGCAAUAUAUAGGUGUCAAACAAGCAUUUCAUCUUACCUCCUUCUGCCUGCCAAAACCCUGGCAGAGAGAAGCAUCAUUACAUGAGAGAAUGCAUGUGGCCUAAUUAUUUGUCACACUCGAUCACUAGACCAGACCCUUUAAGAGUAGUCCAAAGAAUUUAUUUCAUGGGAACCAAAUACAGUAAUUCAUGUUGCAAUCCUGCCCAAAUCACUGAACAGAUACUUUAAGACCCAAAUUCCUUAAAACCAGCUUUGAUUUAGCACACACUACACGUUCCAACUAGAGUUUCAAGUGAGUGGAGCUGCCCACACGAAGCCAUUUCUCACAGAUCGCUGGCAGUUAAGUGCUCAAGAAGAAAGAGAUUUCUUCAACUUCCUUUGGGUCUCACAAAACGAAAGCAGCCGUUACAUAAUAAAGCCUGUAAAAAGCUCCAUGGGUUAAGAAGUCCCCUGAUGUUUUUUCUGCCUUCAGUCAUUUGUUUCAAGUAUUCAGAAACAGUGAAAGUUCACGAAGCAAAAACAUCUUGGGCAGGAAAAGAAGUGUGAGAGUUAGUCAGCAGCUCGACUCACUCAUAGGUCCAUGAGGUUGUAACUUAAUCUUGACAACAUAGUCUUUCCUGGAAGAGCUUUGAGCAGCGAUUUAUCAUUUUAUAAUUUGUGGUUUCAAUGUGAGCCAUCAACCAAGCAGCUGUCUUGGUCUGAGGCACUUUUGAAUCUUUCAAAAAACCCAGGGGAGGCAGGAAGCCGGCUUCAAACUUGAGGCCCCAAACUCGUGGGGUUUAAGGGAGAAGGCACAAAGGCCAGGAUUUCUGUGUGCGCUCUCUAGUCUUUGGAAAUGUAUGGAAUGCGUUCCUGUGUUUGUUUUAGACUUGGUGGGGGCUGGGGGGGGGAGCAUACUUCGAUAGCUGGAGCCGUGGGCUGGCCCCUCGUAUCUCUGGACGGCUUUUCUUCUGUUGCACGAUCCCCUGGGAAAUGAGAAGCUGCAAGCUGAGAGGGGGGAAAUGGGUGGAGAAAGGGGAAGCAAGGGGGAAGGGAGGAGUGCCCGCGAUAACUCUGCUGACUUCACAGUUUUCCACCGUGGCCUGCCCUGCCUACCUCUGUUGACUUCAAAGCUCGAGGAGUGCCUCUGCGCUCGUGCUCAGCCAGCCCCGCGGCCGCCGGUGGGAGAAGGCAUUGACUCUUCGCCCCAGGACCGCAUCCAUCCGAGAACGACAUUUCUGAAAUUAACUUUGCCGUGAACAAAAGGCGGCUCUGGGUCACCCAGUGCUGGGAUUCCAGCAUCCACCAGGGCGAAAGGCAGCUUUUACAGAGAUGUCUCCAGAAACUCGGGCGGUUUCCCAAGAGUCCUCCGGCCUCUCCCAAGAGAGGAAGCGGAGGAAGAGGACCAUCCUGGCCGCUGUCACUCAUGACCUUCUAAUCUGCUUAUCAUUCUAAGCCCAGGACGGAAAGAGGCGCAGCACCUUCUCGGAGCAAAAACAGUCACCACAGAAUUUCACGGGCUGAAACCAAGAUGCACAGCACAGGAAGGAAAUCCAAGCUGCCACCAUCGGAAAACAAAAGCCUAUGUCAGAAAUAUUUACCUUUGGCCUUGAUCUCUCAUCCCAGACCUGCUGCUUAGACUUUUCACAAUUUAUGGAUCCUGACAUAUGGUGAUUCAUCUUGGUUUUGUCACUGCUAGCCACCACGCAGAAGGGUUGGCCUCCGAGAUGGGGGUGGGUGGCUAGGGAGAAGGGACACGUGUGCUCAGCAGCCACCCUUCGAAGUCCCAGGCCACAGUUUUCUCUUACGGAUGUUGCCCAGCCCAGGGUGGGCGGUUCAUCUGUGGCUUAUUUUCCGUUUGUUUUAGUCCCCCACCCAUUUAGUAAGUUGGUCUAAAAACAAAACAAAAAAAGCCCCAAAUAAAACCAAAAAAGGAAACUCUUUUUUUUUUUGAGUCAUCUGAUUAUUUGUUCCCUGACUUUAGAAGAGAGGCAAAAUAACCCCAAAGUGUAGCACUUUACUGAAGGAUGAUACAUGGGAUUAGGCAGUCCCUCAAGCCAUUCUCAGGAUCCUGCCCUGGGGUGGGCCCUUGGUGACACUCUGUUUUCCUUUAUCCCUUUCCUGAGGAUGUGGCUAGAAAGAUAGUUGGAUAACUCCAGCUAUCUGCUUCUAACUUGGGGGGAAAGGCUGGGUGUGGAGAGGAUGGCGGGGAGGCUGGGUGCGAGGUAGAAUGUGGCUGUUUCCAGCCAUCCUUCCGCUACCUCUCACCACAACCCUAGAUACUUACAAGCAUCCCUACCUUUUCCUGUAGGCUGUCAGAGCUCCUGGGAGAGCCACACAUGAAGCCUUCAUGAAAGCUGUUGUGUAGUCACUCAGUCGUGACUCUUCAACCCCAUGGGCUGUAGCUUGCUAGGCUCCUCUGUCCAUGGGAAAGCUCCAGGUGGUGAAAACUUCUGAGUUCCCCCUGAUUAAUCAGAUCACCAGAAAUGAAACAAAACAAAACAAACAAAAAAAAAGAAAAGAAUAUUUUUAACACCUUACAAGAGUGCCUUCACUGAGUCAAAGUUCAAUACUACAGUCCCAUAUUUCUUAGAAAGUAAACAGAAGAAAUAGAAGAACAAAAACCAAAAGGAAAAAAAAGCCCACCCACAUUUUGAUAUCUUGUGAAAACACAGUGGAAGACAUUUUCCAUUAUGUUUCUCAGCCUCUUGCCUUUUAGGAUCUUUGUGAUAAAUUUCACGUAGAAUUCACAAGAAGAAGAUUAUGUUUCCUCAUGAGCUAAUAUUGCUUCCUUUUUUUCCAGACAGUAACCACUUGUGUUUCCCUUUUUGCUUUGACUGUCAGGGAGCCUGAACUUAAGUUUAAUACCCAUUUACAAAAUUAUCUUAUCUCCAGCUCCUGAUCUUCCCCUUCCUCUAUGUGGUUUCUCAACCCCUCCUUUCAUCUUUACUUUAACUGCUUCAUCUAGUUGUACAUUUAAUUUCAGCUACACCAGAGUUUUUAAAAAACCUGAAAAGUGCAACAAACAACAAAACUAACCAUCAAAUUAGUAACAUGACCAAGGUCACCCAGAACUUGGUCUCACUUCCCCAAUAUCUCCCAGGUGGUUAGUGAGACUCACAGGCUAGACACAUGCAACGAUUAGAAUAUGUUCAAGCAUUAAAUGAGAAGAACAAAGAUUCUAGGGAUUGAGGAAACGUAUCAGUGAAGACUGGAGCAGUCAAGGAAGGCUUCCCGAAGGCGGCAGUACUUAUUGUAAGCUUUGAAGGCUUGGGGUUAAUUUCAAGGGUUCAUUUCAUUGGAUCAUUUAUAUAGUUUGGCUGGACUACAUGAAGCAUGUACCUUGGAAUUUAUCCAACUGGCUCUUUUCUGGGGAUAGUUUGUGAACUUAGUCUGAGAAGCCAGUGCAUUACUUUCUAGGGAGCAAUUAUGUGAAGGCAAUCAGGUGAGUCCUCAGUAAAAUGGUGAAGUGGGUGGGACAGGUCGGGGCACUAUAUUGGCAUUUUAGAUGGGAUAAUUCUUCAUUGGGACUAUUCUACAUACCACAGUACCCUUGGCAUCCUGCUUCACACCCACUAGAUGCUCAUAACAAUCCCUAGUCACUGGGACAGCCCCAAAUUCUACCCGUUGUCCUCAACACACCCUGGAGGGCAGUGAUGCACGCAGGUGAGACGGACCACUACCUCAGAUGCCCAAAAUUCUCCUCGCAGUUCUGCCAUCUACAACUGGAUUUCCAGAUUUAGCAAAAAACUAUAGAACAUCCAAUUAAAUUUGAAUUUCAAAUAAACAAUGAAUAAUUUUUUAGUAUAAGUAUGUUCCAAAUAUUGCACUACUUGUUGUUUAUUGGAAAAUUCAAAUUAAGCUAGUGGUCCUUAUUUGAUCUGGAAGCCCUACCCACAGCCCAUUAUCACCAUAUACAAACCUGUCUCCCAGAAAUUCCCUUUGGGUUGGUCCCUCUGCUGUGUACUGAGCUAUCCUCUACUUCUUCCCUGCAAGAUCCACCUAUUCUGUAUUUCAGUUCUUCAUGUUCAAUCUCAGCUAAAUCACAAGGGGAGGGUAAAUACUUUAAAUCAGAGGAACAAAUUCUUUUAAUAAGGUAACCAUCUUACCUUA
ensembl:lncRNA